rnacentral:rRNA from 1 species
GUGGGGAAUAUUGGACAAUGGGCGCAAGCCUGAUCCAGCCAUGCCGCGUGAGUGAUGAAGGCCUUAGGGUUGUAAAGCUCUUUCAGUGGGGACGAUAAUGACGGUACCCACAGAAGAAGCCCCGGCUAACUUCGUGCCAGCAGCCGCGGUAAUACGAAGGGGGCUAGCGUUGUUCGGAUUUACUGGGCGUAAAGCGCACGUAGGCGGAUCGUUAAGUCGGGGGUGAAAUCCUGGAGCUCAACUCCAGAACUGCCUUCGAUACUGGCGAUCUUGAGUCCGGAAGAGGUGAGUGGAACUCCGAGUGUAGAGGUGAAAUUCGUAGAUAUUCGGAGGAACACCAGUGGCGAAGGCGGCUUACUGGUCCAUUACUGACGCUGAGGUGCGAAAGCGUGGGGAGCAAACAGGAUUAGAUACCCGGGUAGUCC